GACGAACGCUGGCGGCGUGCUUAACACAUGCAAGUCGAACGGAAAGGCCCUGCUUUUGUGGGGUGCUCGAGUGGCGAACGGGUGAGUAACACGUGAGUAACCUGCCCUUGACUUUGGGAUAACUUCAGGAAACUGGGGCUAAUACCGGAUAGGAGCUCCUGAUGCAUGGGGGGGGUUGGAAAGUUUCGGCGGUUGGGGAUGGACUCGCGGCUUAUCAGCUUGUUGGUGGGGUAGUGGCUUACCAAGGCUUUGACGGGUAGCCGGCCUGAGAGGGUGACCGGCCACAUUGGGACUGAGAUACGGCCCAGACUCCUACGGGAGGCAGCAGUGGGGAAUAUUGCACAAUGGGCGGAAGCCUGAUGCAGCAACGCCGCGUGCGGGAUGACGGCCUUCGGGUUGUAAACCGCUUUCGCCUGUGACGAAGCGUUAGUGACGGUAAUGGGUAAAGAAGCACCGGCUAACUACGUG
rnacentral:rRNA from 1 species